GGAGGGGUGGCCGAGCGGCUUAAGGCGACGGUUUGCUAAACCGUUGUACGGGGUAAACCUGUACCGAGGGUUCGAAUCCCUCCUCCUCCG
rnacentral:tRNA from 2 species